rnacentral:tRNA from 13 species
GGCGGUUAUGGUGAAGUUGGUUAACACGCCUGAUUGUGGCUCAGGUAUUUUCGCGGGUUCGAGUCCCGUUAAUCGCCCCAU